rnacentral:rRNA from 1 species
GGUUAAGUGACUAAGCGUACACGGUGGAUGCCUUGGCAGUCAGAGGCGAUGAAAGACGUAGUAACUUGCGAUAAGCCCAGAUUAGGUAGUAACAACCAUUUGAGUCUGGGAUUUCUGAAUGGGGAAACCCACGUGCAUAAGCACGUAUCCUUACCUGAAUACAUAGGGUAAGGAGGCGAACCGGGGGAACUGAAACAUCUAAGUACCCCGAGGAAAAGAAAUCAACCGAGAUUCCGAAAGUAGCGGCGAGCGAAAUUGGACUAGCCCUUAAGCUUUACACGCGUUAGACGAACGGUCUGGAAAGUCCGACGAUACAGGGUGAUAGUCCCGUAGUUGACGACGUGUGUUCAGUGAAAUCGAGUAGGGCGGGACACGUGAUAUCCUGUCUGAAUAUGGGGGGACCAUCCUCCAAGGCUAAAUACUACUGACUGACCGAUAGUGAACCAGUACCGUGAGGGAAAGGCGAAAAGAACCCCUGUGAGGGGAGUGAAAUAGAACCUGAAACCGUGUACGUACAAGCAGUAGGAGCAGGCUUUGUCCUGUGACUGCGUACCUUUUGUAUAAUGGGUCAGCGACUUAUAUUCAGUGGCAAGGUUAACCAUCUAGGGGAGCCGUAGGGAAACCGAGUCUUAACUGGGCGUUCAGUCUCUGGAUAUAGACCCGAAACCAGGUGAUCUAGCCAUGGGCAGGUUGAAGGUUGAGUAACAUCAACUGGAGGACCGAACCGACUAAUGUUGAAAAAUUAGCGGAUGACUUGUGGCUAGGGGUGAAAGGCCAAUCAAACCUGGAGAUAGCUGGUUCUCCCCGAAAGCUAUUUAGGUAGCGCCUCGGACGAAUACUACUGGGGGUAGAGCACUGUUAAGGCUAGGGGGUCAUCCCGACUUACCAACCCUUUGCAAACUCCGAAUACCAGUAAGUACUAUCCGGGAGACACACGGCGGGUGCUAACGUCCGUCGUGGAGAGGGAAACAACCCAGACCGCCAGCUAAGGUCCCAAAUUACUACUAAGUGGGAAACGAUGUGGGAAGGCUCAGACAGCCAGGAUGUUGGCUUAGAAGCAGCCAUCAUUUAAAGAAAGCGUAAUAGCUCACUGGUCGAGUCGGCCUGCGCGGAAGAUGUAACGGGGCUAAGUAGUAAACCGAAGCUGCGGCAAUGUGCUUUUGCACAUUGGGUAGGGGAGCGUUUUGUAAGCGGUUGAAGGUGUGUGGUAACGCAUGCUGGACGUAUCAGAAGUGCGAAUGCUGACAUGAGUAACGAUAAAGGGGGUGAAAAACCUCCUCGCCGGAAGACCAAGGGUUCCUGUCCAACGUUAAUCGGGGCAGGGUAAGUCGACCCCUAAGGCGAGGCCGAAAGGCGUAGUCGAUGGGAAACGGGUUAAUAUUCCCGUACUUCUUACAAUUGCGAUGGGGGGACGGAGAAGGCUAGGUGGGCCUGGCGACGGUUGUCCAGGUUCAAGUGCGUAGGCUUGAGAGUUAGGUAAAUCCGGCUCUUUUUAAGGCUGAGACACGACGUCGAGCCACUACGGUGGUGAAGUCAUUGAUGCCAUGCUUCCAGGAAAAGCCUCUAAGCUUCAGAUUGUAAGGAAUCGUACCCCAAACCGACACAGGUGGUCGGGUAGAGAAUACCAAGGCGCUUGAGAGAACUCGGGUGAAGGAACUAGGCAAAAUGGUACCGUAACUUCGGGAGAAGGUACGCUCUCGACGGUGAAGUCCCUCGCGGAUGGAGCUAUUGAGAGUCGCAGAUACCAGGUGGCUGCAACUGUUUAUUAAAAACACAGCACUGUGCAAAAUCGUAAGAUGACGUAUACGGUGUGACGCCUGCCCGGUGCCGGAAGGUUAAUUGAUGGGGUUAGACUUCGGUCGAAGCUCUUGAUCGAAGCCCCGGUAAACGGCGGCCGUAACUAUAACGGUCCUAAGGUAGCGAAAUUCCUUGUCGGGUAAGUUCCGACCUGCACGAAUGGCGUAAUGAUGGCCACGCUGUCUCCACCCGAGACUCAGUGAAAUUGAAAUCGCUGUGAAGAUGCAGUGUACCCGCGGCUAGACGGAAAGACCCCGUGAACCUUUACUACAGCUUGGCACUGAACAUUGACCCUACAUGUGUAGGAUAGGUGGGAGGCUUUGAAGCACGUACGCCAGUAUGUGUGGAGCCGUCCUUGAAAUACCACCCUUGUAGUGUUGAUGUUCUAACGUCGACCCCUUAUCGGGGUUGCGGACAGUGCCUGGUGGGUAGUUUGACUGGGGCGGUCUCCUCCCAAAGAGUAACGGAGGAGCACGAAGGUGGGCUAAUCACGGUUGGACAUCGUGAGGUUAGUGCAAUGGCAUAAGCCCGCUUGACUGCGAGAAUGACAAUUCGAGCAGGUGCGAAAGCAGGUCAUAGUGAUCCGGUGGUUCUGAAUGGAAGGGCCAUCGCUCAACGGAUAAAAGGUACUCCGGGGAUAACAGGCUGAUACCGCCCAAGAGUUCAUAUCGACGGCGGUGUUUGGCACCUCGAUGUCGGCUCAUCACAUCCUGGGGCUGAAGUCGGUCCCAAGGGUAUGGCUGUUCGCCAUUUAAAGUGGUACGCGAGCUGGGUUUAGAACGUCGUGAGACAGUUCGGUCCCUAUCUGCCGUGGGCGUUGGAAGAUUGAAGGGGGCUGCUCCUAGUACGAGAGGACCGGAGUGGACGAACCUCUGGUGUUCGGGUUGUGUCGCCAGACGCAUUGCCCGGUAGCUAAGUUCGGAAUCGAUAACCGCUGAAAGCAUCUAAGCGGGAAGCGAGCCCUGAGAUGAGUCUUCCCUGAUACUUUAAGUAUCCUAAAGGGUUGUCGGAGACUACGACGUUGAUAGGUCAGGUGUGUAAGUGCUGUGAGGCAUUGAGCUAACUGAUACUAAUUGCCCGUGAGGCUUAACCAU